rnacentral:rRNA from 1 species
CAAUUCUCAGGCGCUCGGGUGAUGAGUUGUUAAGGAACUAGGCAAAUUAACCCCGUAACUUCGGGAGAAGGGGUGCCCAUGCAAAUGGGCCGCAGUGAAUAGCGUCAGGCGACUGUUUAACAAAAACACAGGUCUCUGCUAAGUCGAAAACGAUGUAUAGGGGCUGACGCCUGCCCGGUGCCGGAAGGUUAAAGGGAGUGGUUAGCGCAAGCGAAGCUACGAACUGAAGCCCCGGUGAACGGCGGCCGUAACGAUAACGGUCCUAAGGUAGAAAAUUCCUUGUCGGGUAAGUUCCGACCUGCACGAAUGGCGUAACGAUCUGACGACUGUCUCAACAACUCGCCCGGCGAAUUUGUGGUUCCGGUGAAGACGCCGGAUGCCCGCCACAAGACGGAAAGACCCCGUGCACCUUUACUAUACCCUAUCAGUGAAUUAUGGGUUGGACUGCGCAGGAUAGGUGGGAGGCUUUGAGAUCGGGUUUUUGGACUCGAUGGAGCCAACGGUGAGAUACCACCCUGUGUAAUCUGUGAUUCUAACCUGCUUCCAUGAUCUGGAAGAGGGACACUGGUAGGCGGGUAGUUUGACUGGGGCGGUCGCCUCCUAAAUUGUAACGGAGGCGCUCGAAGCUGCGUUCAGGUGGUUUGGAAAUCCACCGACGAGUGCAAAGGCAUAAACGCGGUUAACUGCGAGACCUACAAGUCAAGCAGGUGGGAAACCAGGACUUAGUGAUCCGGUGGUUCUGUAUGGAAGGGCCAUCGCUCAACGGAUAAAAGGUACGCCGGGGAUAACAGGCUGAUCGGAGUCAAGAGUUCACAUCGACGCUCCGGUUCGGCACCUCGAUGUCGGUUCAUCGCAUCCCGGGGGUGUAGAAGCUCCCAAGGGUUAGGCUGUUCGCCUAUUAAAGCGGUACGUGAACUGGGUUCAGAACGUCGCGAGACAGUUCGGUCCCUAUCUGUGGUGGGCGCAGGAAAUUUGAGGGGGCUUGGCCUUAGUACGAGAGGACCGGGCUGAACGAACCUCUUGUGAUACAGUUGUCACUCCAGUGGCACAGCUGUGUAGCGAAGUUCGGUUAGGAUAAGCGCUGAAUGCAUAUAAGUGCGAAACCUUCCCCAAGAUGAGAUUUCCCAACCGUAAGGUAAUAAGGGCCGUGGAAGACUACCACGUUGAUAGGACGGGUGUGUAAGAGUAGUAAUACUUUGAGCUAACCGUUACUAAUAGCCCGUUCGGCUUGACCGU